AAGCCAUGAUGGGGGCAUCUUUGAAGGAGGUGUUUGAAUCUGUCAUAUGCUUCAAAUAAUGUUUCUAAUUCUUCUUCCUUAAACGUUGAAAUUUCUUACCUUAGCUU